UCCCGUGAUGGCACAAUCUUUGAGACCUGAGAUCUUUCUUCCUGGAUGAAAAUCGCAAGCAUGAUCCCUGAGGGC
rfam:Setaria italica strain Yugu1 chromosome IX, whole genome shotgun sequence.